GACGAACGCUGGCGGCGCGCUUAACACAUGCAAGUCGAACGGAAAGGCCUGCUUUCCCUUGUGGAUUGCGGGUACUCGAGUGGCGAACGGGUGAGUAACACGUGAGUGAUCUGCCCCCAACUUGGGUAUAAGCCUGGGAAACUGGGUCUAAUUCCCGAUAGUACUGCAGGGUGGUGCCUGUGGUGGAAAACGAUUUUCUAGUGGUUGGGGAUGAGCUCGCGGCCUAUCAGCUUGUUGGUGGGGUAAUGGCUUACCAAGGCGGCGACGGGUAGCCGGCCUGAGAGGGUGGACGGCCACAUUGGGACUGAGAUACGGCCCAGACUCCUACGGGAGGCAGCAGUGGGGAAUAUUGCACAAUGGGCGGAAGCCUGAUGCAGCGACGCCGCGUGGGGGAUGACGGCCUUCGGGUUGUAAACUCCUUUCGACCGCGAGGAAGCCACCUGGUUGGAAGGGUGGUGACGGUAGUGGUAGAAGAAGCACCGGCUAACUACGUG
rnacentral:rRNA from 1 species